rnacentral:rRNA from 1 species
UACGUAGGUGGCGAGCGUUGUCCGGAUUUACUGGGCGUAAAGAGCGCGCAGGCGGUCGUGCAAGUCGCGUGUGAAAGCCCCCGGCUCAACUGGGGAGGGUCACGCGAUACUGCUCGACUUGAAGGCAGGAGAGGGAAGUGGAAUUCCCGGUGUAGUGGUGAAAUGCGUAGAGAUCCGGAGGAACACCAGUGGCGAAGGCGACACGCUGGGCCGUACCUGACACUGAUGCGCGACAGCAUGGGGAGCAAACAGG